CAUUAUCUUCCCAGCUCCACAGUUUGCAUUAGGGGUCCCUCCUGGUGUUGUACCUUCCAUGGGACUUGAUGUUGUACAUCAGCAGUUGCCCCAGGGAAGUCUAUCCAAAUGAAAUGGGCAAGGCUGGUGAUGCUAACCUAUUUCCAAAUGACCUGCUUUGGAGAAGAGUGUGUAAGAUUGAGGAGAAGUGCAAAAGAAAGAAGGAAAGGCAAGAAGGAAGAAAGGAGAGAGAGAAAAGAGAAAGGACUACCCCCUCGCCCCCAGUUUGUGAAGCUCUUCACAGAUGGAGAAUAUUGCAUAUCCAUUUCACGUUAAACGACAUCUCAAGAUCAACGACCUUAUUCAAGAAAGAAAAUAUCUUGGUCAAUUUCAGUGUGUGUGUAUCAACAGAUUCCAGGUGAUGGACAGGUCGCUUCAUUUUGAUCUUCUGUUGGUGUAGAGUGACCUUGGCCUUUCCAGAAGAGACUGCAUUCUGGGUGUCACACGUGAUGAAGGCAUAUGCCAGUCAAGCAUAUCCAGAAGAGGACAUCCAAGAAGGAGGGGCAGGCAACAAGAACUGGGACUCUCUCGCCCUGUGAGGCAUGGCUUCAUAAGAAUCUGGUAGCUGCUGUCUGACCCUUGAUGAGCCAACAGUGGUGCCCACGGGAACUACCUACCCUGCUGGAGGUGAAGUCUCGGGUCUUAGCACGAAGCUUAUUGACUUGAGAUUCUGCAAUAUCAGCACGUUCCUCAGCCUCCUCGAGUUCAUGCUGGGCUUUUCGGAAUUUGGUGAGAUGAGCGUUGGCUUGUUCAUCCUGAAACCGAAGAGUAAGACCGCCUCCUCAGCCUGCCUCUUGUAGGACUUGACUUUCACUUGAAGUUUAUCCACCAGAUCCUGUAAUCUCAGCACAUUCUUCCUGUCCUCUUCACUCUAAAGGGAGAGACCUAGGUUGGUGUUUGCACUUGACGGAGAAAAUGCCUAUCCGGUUUUCUUUCCACUUACCUGGGCUAGCUGCUCAGCCUCAUCCAGACGGAGCUGCAGGUCCUUCACCGUCUGCUCCAGGUUCUUCUUCAUCCGCUCCAGCAUUCCUUGCGUCCCUGCUGGCGUCUUCCACCUCACUCUGGAGCUGCGUGAGAUCCGUCUCCAGCUUCUUCUUGGUGUGGAUGAGGCUGGUGUUCUAGGGCGAGAGGAGCGGUGUCACC